AGAGUUUGAUCAUGGCUCAGAACGAACGCUGGCGGCGUGCUUAACACAUGCAAGUCGCGUGCGCAGUUGCCGUAGCAAUACGGUGAUGGGCGCACGGCGCACGGGUGCGUAACACGUGGGCAAUCUGCCCUCUGAUGGGGAAUAACCCGCCGAAAGGCGGGCUAAUUCCGCAUAAGAUUCCCGGAACUUCGGUUCUGGGAUUGAAAGCAGUAAUGCGUCGGAGGAGGAGCCCGCGCCCGAUUAGCUAGUUGGUGAGGUAACGGCUCACCAAGGCAAUGAUCGGUAGCUGGUCUGAGAGGAUGAUCAGCCACACUGGAACUGAGACACGGUCCAGACUCCUACGGGAGGCAGCAGUGGGGAAUCUUGCACAAUGGGCGAAAGCCUGAUGCAGCGACGCCGCGUGGGGGAUGAAGCAUUUCGGUGUGUAAACCCCUUUCGACUGGGACGAAUGCCUCGCAAGAGGAGUGACGGUACCAGUAGAAGAAGCCCCGGCUAACUACGUGCCAGCAGCCGCGGUAAGACGUAGGGGGCCAGCGUUGUUCGGAAUUACUGGGUGUAAAGGGUUCGUAGGCGGUGCGGCAAGUUGGGAGUGAAAUCUCUGGGCUUAACCCAGAGGCUGCUUCCAAAACUGCUGUGCUCGAGUGUGAGAGAGGCUCGUGGAAUUGCAGGUGUAGCGGUGAAAUGCGUAGAUAUCUGCAGGAACACCCGUGGCGAAAGCGGCGAGCUGGAUCACUACUGACGCUGAGGAACGAAAGCUAGGGGAGCAAACAGGAUUAGAUACCCUAGUAGUCC
rnacentral:rRNA from 1 species